UGGUCCUGACCUUGUAAUCAAUUUUUACUUAACUUAUACAUGCAAGUAUCCGCACCCCUGUGAGAACGCCCUUAACUUUCCCCUAGAAACAAGGAGCUGGUAUCAGGCACAAUUUUUAGCCCAAAACACCUAGCUACGCCACAUCCACAAGGAAAUUCAGCAGUAAUUAACAUUGAGCAUAAGCGCCAGCUUGACUCAGUCAAAGUAAAUAGAGCCGGCAAAUAUGGUGCCAGCCGCCGCGGUUACACCAUGGGCUCAAACUGAUUACCUUCGGCGUAAAGCGUGAUUAAAGUUAUUUAACCGUUAUAGUUGAAUUUUAACUAAGCUGUGACACGCUUGUUUAUAAGAAACCCAUAGACGAAAGUUACUAUAAUUUCAUCAACUUGAAUUCACGACAGCUAGGAUACAAACUGGGAUUAGAUACCCCACUAUGCCUAGCCGUAAACUUUAAAUUACACCCGUAUCGCCAGGGAACUACGAGCAAAGCUUAAAACCCAAAGGACUUGACGGUACCCCAUAUCCAUCUAGAGGAGCCUGUCCUGUAAUCGAUAACCCCCGUUAAACCUCACCAUUUCUAGCUUUUUCAGCCUGUAUACCUCCGUCGCCAGCCUACCUCGUGAGCGCAAUUUAGUGGGCUUAACGUCUUUACAUCAAUACGUCAGGUCAAGGUGCAGUAAAUGAAAUGGGAAGAGAUGGGCUACACUCUCUAUUCUAGAGCAAACGAAAGACUAUUUAUGAAACUUAGUCGGAAGGCGGAUUUAGUAGUAAAAAGAGACCAUUGAGCUCUUUUUAACCCGGCACUGGGGUGUGUACACACCGCCCGUCACCCUCUUCGAAGCCAAACUUGCAGUACUUAACUAAAUCUAGCAAUAUAGAAGAGGCAAGUCGUAACAUGGUAAGCGCACCGGAAGGUGUGCUUGGAAA
rnacentral:ncRNA from 1 species